CUUCCCUGAUGGCUUCAAAUCCUACUACUUUAAGCAUCAAAAUUUUUAAGACACUCAUGGUUUUCAAUGGAAAGCCUUCUUCAUUAUAGUCUAUGCUCUCUUCUUUCUAAACAGAUUACACUGAAAUUUUAAUAUCUCUUUGAUGAUUCAUCCUCAUGCACAUCAGUGACUCUCUCCGUGGGGGCCAUACUUUUGGGUAGAUAAUUCAAAACGGACCUUUCCGAAAGUUGAAGUUUGUACUGCAUUUCGGUCCAUACCUGAGACUUAUUCUUAAGGACUAAACUGGCUGAAAGGGCAAGACUUGUUGCUAGGAGACACACCGCAGGUUUUCAGGCUUUGCGAAAACCCUUCUUCAGGGACACGGAGCUUCUCGGUUGUCUCCUCAGAUUCUUCAGAGCUAACUGGUUUUGCAUCCAUGUUACCAAAACUCCUUGUGCGAAUUCUGAUGCCUUGUUGACUUGAUAACAUUUCCCCAGAUCCUGCUGCGUGCCUGACUAUCCCCAGGGUAUGGUCACAACAGUCCUUCCCCCACUUUCUGUCUUCCCCUGAGUAAAGAUAACUAAAUGGGGGCACCUGGGGGGCUCGGUCAGUUAAGCAUGAGACUCUUGAUUUUGGCCCAAGUCACCAUCUCCCGGUUCUCAUGAUUGCACUGUCAGCAUGGAGUCUGCUUGGGAUUCUCUGUUUCCCUCUCUCUCUCUCUGCCCUUCCUUCACUCAUG